rnacentral:rRNA from 1 species
CCUACGGGUGGCAGCAGUAGGGAAUAUUGCUCAAUGGGGGAAACCCUGAAGCAGCAACGCCGCGUGGAGGAAGAAGGUUUUCGGAUUGUAAAAUCCUUUUGUUAGAGAAGAAAAUGACGGUAUCUAACGAAUAAGCACCGGCUAACUCCGGGCCAGCAGCCGCGGUAAUACGGAGGGUGCAAGCGUUACUCGGAAUCACUGGGCGUAAAGAGCGCGUAGGCGGGAUAGCAAGUCAGAUGUGAAAUCCUAUGGCUGAACCAUAGAACUGCAUUUGACACUGUGAUGCUAGAGUAUGGGAGAGGUAGGUGGAAUUCUUGGUGUAGCGGUAAAAUCCGUAGAGAUCAAGAGGAAUACUCAUGGCGAAGGCGACCUGCUAGAACGUAACUGACGCUGAUGCGCGAAAGCGUGGGGAGCAAACAGGAUUAGAUACCCUUGUAGUC